AGAAAUUUUAUUUUGGCCAGGAGCUGAAGUUGGUUGUUUAGUAGUAGUAGUUUGAGUAGUGACCGAAGUAGUAGUCUGGUGUGGUAAUUGGGGCAGCUGUGGUCUCUUGUGGAGCUGGGGAAGACGGUGGAGCUGGUGUAGUUGCAGAAGGUGUGGGUGGGGCAGCUGUGGUCUCUGGUGGAGCUGAGGAAGAUGGUGGAGCUUGUGUAGUUGCAGAAGGUGUGGGUGGGGCAGCUGUGGUGUCUUGUGGAGCUGGGGAAUUCACUGGUGCUAAUGUAGCUACAGAAGAGCUUGUGUUAACAUUUUCUCUUGAAGAUAUGGUGGUGGCAUUCUGGGGAAGAAAAGUCACAUUUGGAAGGGUAGUAAUUUUGAUGGAAUUUGGGUUGUAGCCACUAAGGUAGGGUUGACCACACUGCUAUUUUUAUCUGGAUGUUUAGGUGGCUGGU
rnacentral:lncRNA from 1 species